rnacentral:rRNA from 1 species
UACGGAGGGUGCAAGCGUUAUCCGGAUUCACUGGGUUUAAAGGGUGCGUAGGCGGGCAGGUAAGUCCGUGGUGAAAUCUCUGAGCUUAACUCAGAAACUGCCAUGGAUACUAUUUGUCUUGAAUAUUGUGGAGGUAAGCGGAAUAUGUCAUGUAGCGGUGAAAUGCUUAGAUAUGACAUAGAACAUCGAUUGCGAAGGCAGCUCGCUACACUAUCAUUGACACUGAGGCACGAAAGCGUGGGGAUCAAACAGG